rnacentral:rRNA from 1 species
CCUACGGGGGGCAGCAGUGGGGAAUAUUGGACAAUGGGCGAAAGCCUGAUCCAGCCAUGCCGCGUGUGUGAAGAAGGCCUUCGGGUUGUAAAGCACUUUCAGUGGGGAAGAAAGCCUUGGGGCUAAUACCCUCGAGGAAGGACAUCACCCACAGAAGAAGCACCGGCUAACUCCGUGCCAGCAGCCGCGGUAAUACGGAGGGUGCGAGCGUUAAUCGGAAUUACUGGGCGUAAAGCGCGCGUAGGCGGUCUGAUAAGCCGGUUGUGAAAGCCCCGGGCUCAACCUGGGAACGGCAUCCGGAACUGUCAGGCUAGAGUGCAGGAGAGGAAGGUAGAAUUCCCGGUGUAGCGGUGAAAUGCGUAGAGAUCGGGAGGAAUACCAGUGGCGAAGGCGGCCUUCUGGACUGACACUGACGCUGAGGUGCGAAAGCGUGGGUAGCAAACAGGAUUAGAUACCCCGGUAAUC